UUUGAAAGUUGAGAGGUUUUUAUGUCUUUUUUAAAAAAGCUUUGGCUUUUUCCAAAAAUGAAAGUUUUUUUGUGGCUAAAACCUAAAUUUAUUUAAAUUUUUUAACCCUAACUAGAUUAAAAAAAGAAAAAAAGACAAAAAACUGACGCAAGCACAGAAAGAGAAUGAUGAAAUCAAAAGUGGGUUCAAUCUUGCUGCCAAGCGUAUUUGCUAUUGUUCCAAAGGAAAUCAACAAUCACACCAGCAAGUUUCUUGAUAGGCCCAAAAAAGUGGGUUCUAGUGGAUGUGCCGAAAAAAAAAAAAAAAAAACUCAAUGUCAGUUUUCUUUUUUUCUUGAUAGGCUAAAUCAGUUUCUCAUUCCGCCAAAGUGGCUGGUAUUUCUAUUCUGCAUUAGAAUUCUGUCCUUUACUUUCUAUUGUUCAUUCAUCGUUCACCUGCUUACCUGUAACUCUCUUUUAAUCCAAACAAUAAGUCCUAAAUUCCAAACACUAAUCCCAAGUGAGGCAUGAGCGGAUGCGGCAUGAGCGGAGAAAGAGAGAGUCCCUUACACUAGGAGUUUAGGAUUACUUUCUACCCAGAAAAGAAAAGCCAGUGUCCUAAUGAGUAGCUUUUUUAGAUCAAACUCUUGCAGCAGUAGCAGUUCUAGAGCCAGUAUUAGUAAGGUCCCAGACAUAGUUAAUGAAGAACAAAUUGAGUAUGAAACUAGUAAUGAAGUCGACUGGAAAGAUUGAAAUAUUCCCAAAGUCCCAACUACAUAAAUUUAUAAGAAAAAAUGGUCUCUCU
rnacentral:lncRNA from 1 species